CUCCAUGUCGCCCUCGGAGACGUCGCCGAACGUCUCCGUGUUGUCCUUAAGCAGCUGGAAGAUGGCGGCCAGCUGCUCCCGCUGCACCCUGGGAAAACAACGUAGACGAAGAGUGUCCUCAGUCUGGGUCAAAGGUUUUGAUUAUGCAUUAAUGCUCUGGCCACACACGCGCAUUAUGCUUAUCUUAAGCACUUGGGCAAUACUUCAAAGUAAGUGACUGCUGUACGAGGAGAGCCAAUCAACACUUGGGCAUGGACCCAUGACACCUGGAAGUGACACCUUUAAUUAUCAAACAGGUAGGAAAGGUGAUACAUUUCCAGGCAAAAUCCAGAGUGCACGUCCCUGUGUCAACGGCAGGUGUCUUUUGUCUCCGUCACGUCCUGGGGUCAAACGUCCUCUGAGCUGGCAAAGAGUCAAUCUGACCUUAAGUCAGUCUAGCCCGCAUCGCACAGCAGCUUAAGAGCGGAAAGCUGCGAGUGAGAAGGCGGCUAGCACAGAAGCAGAACGUCACAGCAUGUUUUUAACUGACCUCUGCUCCUCCUCAAGCUCCUCUUUGGACAUCAUCAUCUCCAUGUGGUGGGAGCGCGACUUUCCGGGGACGUACUUUAGCUCCGAUUUAUCUGCAGAAAAAGAGGACCAUCAUUCAAAGAAACAUCACAUGACCAAAACCCAGAACAGAGAAAGCACACUUUAGGAGCUCCUCAUCAGAGAGCCCGAUGAAGGAGCGCCGGCCGCGCCCCGACGACGCCUCAGACGACGAGUCAAAGCUUGUGUGCCUCGAGUCGAGGCGCGGCACGGACAGGCUGGACGCCGACGAGGAGGAGGAGCGCUCGGCCGGAGAUGCCGCAACCGUCGCGGACUCCGGCUCCUCGUUGGUGUGAUGGGGUUGCACCUCGUCCUGUGUGGGAGAAUGAGGAGGAGAGGAGGAGAGGGGGAGAGAGCGAGAGAGAGAGACAGAGAGAGGUCCCUCUGGGGAUGAUUGACAACUCACUGCGUCUCCACACAAUUGAAGAACAACAUUUUUGUUUGGUGAUAAUUGCUUUGGGGCUUUGUUUCUGGCAACCUAGUUUAUGGACAACAAACUGACUUACAUUUGAUUUCUAAUGUGCAGCAAACCUUUAUUUCUAUUGGUACCCGUGUUUCUGUACAGGAAAUGAACUUGCAGUUGAAAAGGUAUUUCUAAUGUCCAUGGAGCUUUAGUUUCUGUUGACACCCAUGUUCAUGUAUGACAAAUGGAACUCAAUUUCUAGUGUGCAUCGACCAUUUGAUUCUAUUUCUUACCUCGACUAAUGAAUUGAGUUGCAGUCAGAAAGUGAUUUCAACAUACAUUGAGCCUUUGUUUCUAUUGUCACCCACAUUUGUUAUGUGUGACAAAUUAACCAACAGUAAGAAAGCGAUUUCUAAUGUGCUUUUGUUUCUAUUGGCACCAAUGUUACUUUGUACAACAAAUAAACUUGCAGUAAAAAGUGA